UACAGAGGGUGCAAGCGUUGUUCGGAAUUAUUGGGCGUAAAGCGCGCGUAGGCGGCUUUGCAAGUCGGGUGUGAAAGCCCUCAGCUCAACUGAGGAAGGGCGCCCGAAACUGCAGAGCUUGAGUGCCGGAGAGGGUGGCGGAAUUCCCCAAGUAGAGGUGAAAUUCGUAGAUCUGGGGAGGAACACCGGUGGCGAAGGCGGCCACCUGGACGGUAACUGACGCUGAGGCGCGAAAGCGUGGGUAGCAAACAGG
rnacentral:rRNA from 1 species